CGCGUAGGCGGCCAUGUCAGUUGGGAGUGAAAGCCCCGGGCUCAACCUGGGAACUGCUCUCAAUACUGCGUGGCUUGAGAACGGGAGAGGGUAGGUGGAAUUCCCAGUGUAGAGGUGAAAUUCGUAGAUAUUGGGAAGAACACCAGUGGCGAAGGCGGCUGCCUGGCCCGUUUCUGACGCUGAGGCGCGAAAGCGUGGGGAGCAAACA
rnacentral:rRNA from 1 species